rnacentral:snRNA from 1 species
AUCACUUCUCGGCCUUUUGGCUAAGAUCAAGUGUAGAAUACAGUUUAGGCACUGAGUAGAACUAUGUUAAUCAUAUAAUUUACUGUUUUUACAGUUAAAAGUGAAGCUCUAAAAUAGAGGAUAAUUUGCACAAUAUAGCAUUUAUUAGCUGCAUCUCUC